rnacentral:rRNA from 1 species
ACAGCAGUAGCCACGGUAAUACGUAGGUGGCAAGCGUUGUCCGGAAUUAUUGGGCGUAAAGGGCUCGCAGGCGGUUUCUUAAGUCUGAUGUGAAAGCCCCCGGCUCAACCGGGGAGGGUCAUUGGAAACUGGGAAACCUGAGUGCAGAAGAGGAGAGUGGAAUUCCACGUGUAGCGGUGAAAUGCGUAGAGAUGUGGAGGAACACCAGUGGCGAAGGCGACUCUCUGGUCUGUAACUGACGCUGAGGAGCGAAAGCGUGGGGAGCGAACAGGAUUAGAGACCCGCGUAGUCCCUGUCUCUUAUAC